rnacentral:rRNA from 1 species
GAUGAACGCUAGUGGCAGGCCUAAUACAUGCAAGUCGAACGGUGUAGCAAUACACAGUGGCGCACGGGUGCGUAACACGUAUGCAACCUACCUUACAUUGGGGGAUAGCCUUUCGAAAGGGAGAUUAAUACCGCAUAAGACAGUAACUAGGCAUCUAGUAGCUGUUAAAGAUUUAUCGAUGUAAGCUGGGCAUGCGUCCAAUUAGUUAGUUGGCGAGGUAAUGGCUCACCAAGACGAUGAUUGGUAGGGGAACUGAGAGGUCAAUCCCCCACACUGGCACUGAGAUACGGGCCAGACUCCUACGGGAGGCAGCAGUAGGGAAUAUUGGGCAAUGGGCGCAAGCCUGACCCAGCCAUGCCGCGUGCAGGAAGAAGGCGUUAUGCGUUGUAAACUGCUUUUAUACAGGAAGAAACGACCCUUGCGAUGGGCAUUGACGGUACUGUAUGAAUAAGCACCGGCUAACUCCGUGCCAGCAGCCGCCGUAAGAC